rnacentral:rRNA from 1 species
ACGGAGGGGGUUAGCGUUGUUCGGAAUUACUGGGCGUAAAGCGUACGUAGGCGGAUUGGAAAGUUAGAGGUGAAAUCCCAGGGCUCAACCCUGGAACUGCCUUUAAAACUCCCAGUCUUGAGUUCGAGAGAGGUGAGUGGAAUUCCGAGUGUAGAGGUGAAAUUCGUAGAUAUUCGGAGGAACACCAGUGGCGAAGGCGGCUCACUGGCUCGAUACUGACGCUGAGGUACGAAAGUGUGGGGAGCAAACAGG